GACGAACGCUGGCGGCGUGCCUAACACAUGCAAGUCGAGCGAACGGACGAGAAGCUUGUUUCUCUAAUGUUAGCGGCGGACGGGUGAGUAACACGUGGAUAAUCUACUUAUAAGACUGGGAUAACUUCGGGAAACCGUAGCUAAUACCGGAUAAUAUUCUGAACCGCAUGGUUCAAAAGUGAAAGACGGUCUUGCUGUCACUUAUAGAUGGAUCCGCGCUGCAUUAGCUAGUUGGUAAGGUAACGGCUUACCAAGGCAACGAUGCAUAGCCGACCUGAGAGGGUGGUCGGCCACACUGGAGCUGAGACACGGUCCAGACUCCUACGGGAGGCAGCAGUAGGGAAUCUUCCGCAAUAGGCGAAAGCCUGACGGAGCAGCGCCGCGUGAGUGAUGAAGGUCUUCGGAUCGUAAAACUCUGUUAUUGGGGGAGAACAUAUGUGGAAGUAACUGUGCACAUCUUGACGGUACCUAAUCAGAAAGCCACGGCUAACUACGUG
rnacentral:rRNA from 1 species